rnacentral:rRNA from 1 species
CGCCUUUGGAAUAAGAUCAUAAGGUCCGACCUGCCCGGUGACUGAGAAGUUAAACGGCUGCAGUACUCUGACUGUGCAAAGGUAGCAUAAUCAUUAGCCUAUUAAUUGUAGGCUGGCAUCAACGGUUAGACGACAGGAAGUCUGUCUUUUUCUUUUAUAUCUUAAUUUGACAUUUAAGUGAAGAGGCUUAAAUUAAAUAGUGGGACGAGAAGACCCUAUUGAGCUUUAGAGCUUUAUAUUUAUUUAUUAAUUAUAAAGUUUUUGGGUUGGGGCAACCAUUUUUAUAAUUUAACAAAAAUAAAAUAGAGCUGAAUUGAAUCUUUUUUAGACCCGGAAUAUAUUGCGGGAAUUAGAAAAAGUUACCUUAGGGAUAACAGCGUAAUUUUCUCUGAGAGUACAUAUUGACGAGAAAGUUUGCGACCUCGAUGUUGGAUUAAGUUUUCCUGGGGGUGCAGCAGCUUCCAAGGGUUGGUUUGUUCAACCAUAAAAAUCUUACG